UAGUGGCGCACGGGUGAGUAACACGUGGGUAACCUGCCCUUGAGUUCGGGAUACCCCCUCGAAAGGGGGGCUAAUACCGGAUACGUUCCUCGGAUCGACAGGUCUGGGGAGGAAAGGUGGCGCAAGCUGCCGCUCUUGGAGGGGCUCGCGGCCUAUCAGCUAGUUGGCGGGGUAACGGCCCACCAAGGCUAUGACGGGUAGCUGGUCUGAGAGGACGACCAGCCACACGGGGACUGAGACACGGCCCCGACUCCUACGGGAGGCAGCAGUGGGGAAUUUUCCGCAAUGGGCGAAAGCCUGACGGAGUGACGCCGCGUGUGGGACGAAGGCCUUCGGGUCGUAAACCACUGUCAGUGGGAAAGAAGGGUGUCGGCGCUAAUACCGUCGGCACCUGACGGUACCUGCAGAGGAAGCCCCGGCCAACUCUGUGCCAGCAGCCGCGGUAAGACAGAGGGGGCAAGCGUUGCUCGGAAUUACUGGGCGUAAAGGGCGCGUAGGCGGGAUGGCAAGUCGGUCGUGAAAUCCUGCGGCUCAACCGAAGAACGUCGAUCGAUACUGCUGUUCUUGAGGAUUGCAGAGGAGACUGGAAUUCCCGGUGUAGCGGUGAAAUGUGUAGAGAUCGGGAGGAACACCGGUGGCGAAGGCGGGUCUCUGGGCAAUUCC
rnacentral:rRNA from 1 species